rnacentral:SRP_RNA from 1 species
CGCAGCCCCUCGUGCUGGCGCCGAUCGGCAAACUCCCCCAGGGCCGGAAGGCAGCAAGGGUAUACGGGCUCGGCGGUGCACGGGGGCUUCACGU